rnacentral:rRNA from 1 species
UACGUAGGGUCCGAGCGUUGUCCGGAAUUACUGGGCGUAAAGAGCUCGUAGGUGGUUUGUCGCGUUGUUCGUGAAAACUCACAGCUCAACUGUGGGCGUGCGGGCGAGUACGGGCAGACUUGAGUACUGCAGGGGAGACUGGAAUUCCUGGUGUAGCGGUGGAAUGCGCAGAUAUCAGGAGGAACACCGGUGGCGAAGGCGGGUCUCUGGUCCAAAAACUGACGCUGAGGGGCGAAAGCUAGGGGAGCGAACAGGA